rnacentral:misc_RNA from 1 species
CAGAGUUACACAACUCACCAAACCAUCGUGAACCGACCCUUCUGUUGCUUCGGCGGGAGGCGCCUCGGCGCCCCUCGGCCGAUCCCCCGCCCCCGCGGCGUGGGGGGAGGCUCCCGCCGGAGGAAUACCCCCAAACCCUUUGCAGCACGUGGCCUCUCUGAGUUUAUGUACUGAAUAAGUCAA